rnacentral:tRNA from 1 species
GAAGGUAUAGCUCAGUGGUAGAGUAUGUGCUUACCACGUGUGAGGACCAGGGUCCAAUCUCCAGUACCUCCA